rnacentral:rRNA from 1 species
ACGAAACAGGGGCAACUCUGUUUAGUGGCGGAAGGGUUAGUAAUACAUGGGUAACCUGCCUUUAACUUUGGAAUAACGAUUGGAAACGAUCGCUAAUACCAAAUGUGGUGUACCGGGGCAUCCCGGUUUCAUUAAAGUGGGGGAUCGUAAGACCUCGCGGUUAAAGAGGGGCCCAUGCGAUAUCAGCUAGUUGGUGAGGUAACGGCUCACCAAGG